rnacentral:rRNA from 1 species
GACGAACGCUGGCGGCGUGCUUAACACAUGCAAGUCGAACGAUGACCUCCGUGCUUGCACGGGGUGAUUAGUGGCGAACGGGUGAGUAACACGUGAGUAACCUGCCCCCCACUCUGGGAUAACCUCGGGAAAUCGGGGCUAAUACCGGAUAUGAGUUUCCGCCGCAUGGUGGUUUCUGGAAAGUUUUUCGGUGGGGGAUGGACUCGCGGCCUAUCAGUUUGUUGGUGAGGUAAUGGCUCACCAAGGCGAUGACGGGUAGCCGGCCUGAGAGGGCGACCGGCCACACUGGGACUGAGACACGGCCCAGACUCCUACGGGAGGCAGCAGUGGGGAAUAUUGGACAAUGGGCGGAAGCCUGAUCCAGCAACGCCGCGUGAGGGAUGACGGCCUUCGGGUUGUAAACCUCUUUCAUCUAUGACGAAGGCUCUGCUUUUUGGUGGGGUUGACGGUAAUGGGAGAAGAAGCACCGGCCAACUACGUGCCAGCCGCCGCCGUAAA